UGCGCAGGCGGUUUUGUAAGACAGGCGUGAAAUCCCCGGGCUCAACCUGGGAAUUGCGCUUGUGACUGCAAGGCUGGAGUGCGGCAGAGGGGGAUGGAAUUCCGCGUGUAGCAGUGAAAUGCGUAGAUAUGCGGAGGAACACCGAUGGCGAAGGCAAUCCCCUGGGCCUGCACUGACGCUCAUGCACGAAAGCGUGGGGAGCAAACA
rnacentral:rRNA from 1 species